rnacentral:rRNA from 1 species
UACGUAGGGACCAAGCGUUGUUCGGAUUUACUGGGCGUAAAGGGCGCGUAGGCGGCCUGGCAAGUCACUUGUGAAAUCUCUGAGCUUAACUCAGAACGGCCAAGUGAUACUGCUGUGCUAGAGUGCAGAAGGGGCAAUCGGAAUUCUUGGUGUAGCGGUGAAAUGCGUAGAUAUCAAGAGGAACACCUGAGGUGAAGACGGGUUGCUGGGCUGACACUGACGCUGAGGCACGAAAGCGUGGGGAGCGAACAGG